GGACGGUACCUUUCGAGGAAGCCACGGCUAACUACGUGCCAGCAGCCGCGGUAAUACGUAGGUGGCGAGCGUUGUCCGGAAUUAUUGGGCGUAAAGGGAGCGCAGGUGGGAAAGUAAGUCAGUCUUAAAAGUGCGGGGCUCAACCCCGUGAUGGGAUUGAAACUACUUUUCUUGAGUGCAGGAGAGGAAAGCGGAAUUCCUAGUGUAGCGGUGAAAUGCGUAGAUAUUAGGAGGAACACCAGUGGCGAAGGCGGCUUUCUGGACUGUAACUGACACUGAGGCUCGAAAGCGUGGGGAGCAAACAGGAUUAGAUACCCUG
rnacentral:rRNA from 1 species